UACAGAGGUCCCGAGCGUUGUUCGGAUUUACUGGGCGUAAAGGGCGCGUAGGCGGUCUGGGUAAGUCGGAUGUGAAAUACCGCAGCCUAACUGCGGAACGGCAUUCGAUACUGCCUGACUAGAAGACUGGAAGGGAGAUUGGAAUUCUCGGUGUAGCGGUGAAAUGCGUAGAUAUCGAGAGGAACUCCAGUGGCGAAGGCGGAUCUCUGGACAGUUCUUGACGCUGAGGCGCGAAAGCCAGGGGA
rnacentral:rRNA from 1 species